rnacentral:rRNA from 1 species
UACGUAGGGUGCGAGCGUUGUCCGGAAUUAUUGGGCGUAAAGGGCUCGUAGGCGGUUUGUCACGUCGGGAGUGAAAACUCGGGGCUCAACCCCGAGCCUGCUUCCGAUACGGGCAGACUAGAGGUAUGCAGGGGAGAAUGGAAUUCCUGGUGUAGCGGUGAAAUGCGCAGAUAUCAGGAGGAACACCGGUGGCGAAGGCGGUUCUCUGGGCCGAAACUGACGCUGAGGAGCGAAAGCGUGGGGAGCGAACAGG